AGAGUUUGAUCCUGGCUCAGAUUGAACGCUGGCGGCAGGCCUAACACAUGCAAGUCGAGCGGUAACAGGGGAAGCUUGCUUCUCUGCUGACGAGCGGCGGACGGGUGAGUAAUGUAUGGGGAUCUGCCUGAUGGAGGGGGAUAACUACUGGAAACGGUAGCUAAUACCGCAUAAUGUCUACGGACCAAAGUGGGGGACCUUCGGGCCUCAUGCCAUCAGAUGUGCCCAGAUGGGAUUAGCUAGUAGGUGGGGUAAUGGCUCACCUAGGCGACGAUCCCUAGCUGGUCUGAGAGGAUGAUCAGCCACACUGGGACUGAGACACGGCCCAGACUCCUACGGGAGGCAGCAGUGGGGAAUAUUGCACAAUGGGCGCAAGCCUGAUGCAGCCAUGCCGCGUGUGUGAAGAAGGCCUUCGGGUUGUAAAGCACUUUCAGCGGGGAGGAAGGCGGUGAGGUUAAUAACCUUAGUGAUUGACGUUACCCGCAGAAGAAGCACCGGCUAACUCCGUGCCAGCCGCCGCGGUAAUUC
rnacentral:rRNA from 1 species